AGAUGGCAUUAUACCACCCUGAACAUGCCCAAUCUGGUCUGAUCUUGGAAGCUAAGCAGGGUUGGGCCUGGUUAGUCCUUGGAUGGGAUAUCUGAAAGCACUUUAAAGGGCAGCUU
ensembl:rRNA 5S_rRNA 5S ribosomal RNA